GUGGUUUAGCAAUAGAAUGUUCAUAGAAUUAAGCAAAAACCCUAAAUGACGAAUCAUUUUAGGGAAAUUGAGCUGUAUAACGCAAAAAAAAAAAAAUAAUUUACUGACUAACCAAUUGCCCUAUUUUUUCACUGUUUCUUGUGCUUUUAAUAUAAUAUUGUCAUAUUACUCUUUAUUGCAACCGGUAAAACCUGCAAGUCAGUUUUUUUUAAUAAUGUUAAGUUCCAAAAAUUUUCCGUGUCCAUUAAAGAAUCACAUACCCUCACAUAGUUUAUUCUCCCUUUCGAAGUGCGUUGCAAAGGGGACAUCAUCUCCGCUUCUGAAAUCUAUUGCGAGACGACGGUGUUACAAUUGAAGUGGCGAGAAAGAGCAAUCUGAGCAUCUUUUCCUUCUCAGAUUUGUGGGAUCGUUGAUGAAAUUGUAUUGUCUAUGUUGAUAUUUUGGCGAUAUGGAAUGGAACACUACGUACAUAUGUAUGUGGUCAAUAAACGUGUAACGUGGAUGUCUUUUUUCUUUCAUAUGGCAUAGUUUUAAGUCACUCCUCACCAUAUAUUAUUUGUGAUACGUCAUGUUUACCGGGUAACUGUAAGUAGAAAAGGU
rnacentral:lncRNA from 1 species